GUGCUUGCUUCAGCAGCACAUACUAAAAUCAGAAGGAUACAGAGAAGAUUAGCCAAGCCCCUGCACAAAAGAGUGCAAACAGGCUCAAUAUUCAUUU
rnacentral:snRNA from 1 species